GUAUGCUAAAAAGUUUCUCAUACGUAUAGUCACACCCAUAGGUAUUUUGAGCAACUUUGGCAACUUUAACGAUGCAUCGCGGGUAGAAAACCUCCAGCUCAUUCUUAUCAAAGAAAAUGCGGUGCACAAAACCCGCUCGC